rnacentral:rRNA from 1 species
CAGCAGUCGCCGCGGUAAUACAGAGGGUGCGAUCGUUAAUCGGAUUUACUGGGCGUAAAGCGUGCGUAGGCGGCUUUUUAAGUCGGAUGUGAAAUCCCUGAGCUUAACUUAGGAAUUGCAUUCGAUACUGGGAAGCUAGAGUAUGGGAGAGGAUGGUAGAAUUCCAGGUGUAGCGGUGAAAUGCGUAGAGAUCUGGAGGAAUACCGACGGCGAAGGCAGCCAUCUGGCCUAAUACUGACGCUGAGGUACGAAAGCAUGGGGAGCAAACAGGAUUAGAUACCCCAGUAGUCCCUGUCUCUUAUAC